AACGGCCGUACCAUGCUGAAUAUACCGGUUCUCGUUAGAUCACCGAAGUCAAGCAUCAUUGGGCGCGGUCAGUACUUGGGCGGUGACCUGGGAACACCGCGUGCCGUU
rnacentral:rRNA from 1 species